rnacentral:rRNA from 1 species
AUGCAUUGCUGGGUUCGUCGGUGUGAGGGUCUGAUCGGUUGCGCCUCUGGAAAGCCCAUUGUCCCCCAAUCCCCACAGCCGCCCGCCCGCACCCUCCCUCCUCCCUCGUCUCAGCCGCCACCCCCACGAACCCUAGCCGCGCCCUCCUGCAUCCUCCCCUCCCUGGUCCGCCCCAAGCUCCUUCUCCUCCUUCGUCCUCACAUGCUCCACCCUGAGCACGCCGGCGGCGAAGCGCACCGCGAGGCCCCGGAGCAACUCAGCCAGAGCCCCUCUGUACAGGAGGAACCCCGCGGCCAGCGCAGCCAACAACGGUGGCGCGUACAAGAGCUCGGCCUUGAUGGGCCGCCCGCCGUCCGCGAGGGUCACGUCCGCGCUGAAGGGCAGGGUUGUUAUGCUCUGUCCCUCGAGGAAUAUGUUGAUUCGAGAAGAGAAAGGAGCUGUGGCGUGACAUGGUGCGAGACCUUUGUCCCGGAGCAUGCAGCUUGUCAGUAUAAAGAUGGUGUUCGGAGCUAUAUAUUGGAAGAGCUCCCCGGAUUGCGCCGUUCCUGGCUGUCCGAUCGUAGUGAAUUUCCCACCUCGCUUCCCCUCAGACGUUGGAUAUUCACUGCAUAUUUCACCUUGUUAUUUCUUUCACAUGUGUAUGACCGGUGGGCCGCUUCGUCGGUGGGGUCGUCGCCGCGCCCUCCUGCAUCCUCCCCUCCCUGGUCCGCCCCAAGCUCCUCCUCCGUCCUCACAUGCUCCACCCUGAGCACGCCGGCGGCGAAGCGCACCGCGAGGCCCCGAAGCAACUCAGCCAGAGCCCCUCCGUACAGGAGGAACCCCGCGGCCAGCGCAGCCAACAACAGUGGCGCGUACAAGAGCUCGACCUUGAUGGGCCGCGUGCCUUACGCGAGGGUCACGUCCACGCUGAAGGGCAGCAACGAGCAUAUGGUGCGGUACGAGGAGGUGCGCAGGGAGAAGGUGCACGGUCCGCCUAGCACCAUGUGUGCGGCGGCGGGGACAGGCAAUCACGGGCAGAUUUUGGGGAGCGGCACAAGCAUCAAGCAAUGGCUGAUUCCAAGGUGGGCUUCCCCUCGGCUCCUCUCUCUCUCCCCCAUCACACAAUGGAACGAUUUGCUCCACGGAAAUUAUCUCCUUAGUUGCAUUCCAUUUACAGUUCAUGUUCAUUGCCUUGCUGUGGUUGCACCGUGGUCUGUGGGGAACAUGAACAAAUACCUUUGCUACAACCGAGGUCUUAGCAGACCAGUCAAGGAGAGAUUGGUUCGGGGUUGUUAUGCUCUGUCCCUCGAGGAAGAAAUAGAAGUUGAGGGGAAGCUAUUGCGUGCUAGGAAAUCAGUUGGUGUUGUCUAUGUUGGUUUCAGGAAGAAAAGGACCGGCAAAUUGAUGGCUCAGGCACGUCAUACAAAAUUUUAUAAAGGGCUACUUCACAAGCAUUCGAUAGUAAAAGAAUUAGGGCCUGUUCUGAAACUCUGCCAACUCCACCAAAUCCGCAACUUCAGCUUCUCGAGCGAGCUUCUCGCUUCGCCCAGCGCUCGAAAACGGUUCGGCAGCGAAGCUGGCUUCUCUCAGCGCUGCAGCCCGGCUGGAAGGCAAAAAGCCCAUUGGGCGCCCCUUUGGGCUGGCUGGAGGCAGCCCAGGAGAGGGAAAACGAUUAGAUCGAGUGGGAGGACUCGGUACUGUGCACUAGCGUGGGCGUACGUCGAAGGGCUCAGGCGAAACGUUUUCUUUGGCGGUGGCAAACAUCUUGUAAAUAGAGGGAACUCCAGAUUCUGUAAAAGGUGGAGCUGGGUUCUUGUUGCUUCUCAAAAAUGCACUGCGGCCGGAAACAGCUUCGUGAAUUUAGCUUCCAGAGCUAAAUCGUUCUGCAGCUUUUUGAUUCUGGAGUUUGUGAAGUUGAGAGCUGGAGAAUUCCAGAACAGGCCGUCCAUGAUAUUGCCUCAACUACAUGUAAUGACUGAUAAGCAAGAUCUAGUACCCUUGUCCCGCGCUCUGUCUUCUCCGCGAGCUCCCCUGCUCCUCCGUCUAGUGCUCUGCCUCCUUGGUGAUUUCCGGCGAUUUCCUGGUGACUGGCGUCAUGCCGCUUCUUCUCCUCCCCUUCCUUCUCUGAUCUCCUAUCUCAUCCCUCGUCUCCCGGAUUCCCUUCUCCUCUGUGUCUCCUCUCUACUUCCCCUUGUUCCCUCAAUCCAUCUUGCUCAUCCAGAUCUCCUUUUGUUGCUUCUCUGCUUCUUCCCUCCCCGUGAUACUCACUGCCCUCCGAUUCUGUUAGUGACCUGCUGCUGCUCUCCACUUUCGCCACAGAUCCGGAGCUUCUACCCAACGGCCUUAUUUUCGCAGAUCUGGCGUCUCCUUGCUGUGGGUGACCCCGGGCUCGCGCCGAGCCAGGAGAGUGGGGUGAGGAAGGCAGAGUUUGAUGUUGCCAACGACUUUGUUGUUCCUUCUAGAGGUGCCUCAGGUGGCCUUUGGCUUAUGUGGACCGAUGAGCUCAAAGUUUCUGUGCAUGCUGCUGCUUUUCACUAUAUUUUAGCAAAUGUAGUUCAUGCAGCUUCAGGGGUCAACUUUUGUCUUAUUUGUAUAUAUGGCGACCCGUAUCACAGGCAGACUAAUGCCAUCUGGGACCAAGUUGCUGAUUUUGUCUAUGAUAACCUAGGAAAGCCCGUGGUUUGUAUGGGGGACCUUAAUGAUAUUCUUUAUGAUGUGGAUGCGUGUGAUGGUAAUAUCAACUUCUAUCGUAUGAAUGCUUUCAGGUCUCUUGUUAAAAAUUGUGGGCUGUUUGAUAUUGGUUAUAGUGGUCCUGCUUAUACUUGGCGUGGUAGGCAACAUACUUCUAAGCCCAUUCAUAGACGUCUUGAUCGAUGCUUGGUCAAUUCUGAUUGGUGCGCUUUUUAUCCUAAUACCGAAGUGCUGAAUCUUCCUAUUAUUCUUGGUGACCAUGCUCCCAUUUUAAUUUCCUCGGAAGGAUCUUUCAAAGUCUGGUGCAAGAAGAAAAAACCUCUCCAACAAGAACUUGCUGAGCUAGAAUCCAGAAUCAAGGAUUUGCAACAGCUGCCUCUCCACCAACAGGACCAUGUUUUGGAAAGUACUCUUACUAAUAGGCCUUUUUCUUCCCCUAUUUGGACUAAUGACAACAAUGAUCCUACUUAUUCUAUUCCGGACAAGGCUGAACUUUUGCGGAUUCUUAAAGACAUGAAGCUUAAUGCUUCUCCUGGUCCUGAUGGGUUCAAUGUAGAAUUUUAUUUAGCUACUUGGGAUUGGAUUGGGGAUGAGGUAACUCAGCUUGUCACUCACUUCUAUAAUACUGCUACACUUCCCCCUCACAUAAAUGAUACCAAUAUUGCUCUUAUCCCUAAGAAGUUGGUUCCUCUUGUGCCCAUGGACUACCGUCCUAUUAGUCUUUGUAAUGUGCUUUAUAAAAUCAUUGCUAAGUCUCUUGCGAAUAGAUUUAAGCAUCAUCUUCCUGAUUACAUUGACCAAGCUCAACAAGCAUUUAUUGAGGGUAGACGUAUUAGUGACAACAUUAUCAUUGCUCAGGAAAUUGCUCACUCGUUUUCUCUUAAAUCCUGGAAAUAUGAUGCCUUUAUGCUUAAGAUUGACCUUGCCAAAGCUUUUGAUCGUUUAGAAUGGAAUUUCAUUGUUUCUGCUCUGGCUCGUAAAGGGCUGCAUGGUCAUUUUGUUAAUUUGGUUCAUGCAUGCAUCUCAUCUCCCUCAUUCUCUGUUCUCAUUAAUGGCCAGCCCUCUCCUAAAUUUAAGAGCUUCAGAGGAAUACGACAAGGCUGUCCCAUGUCUCCUUACUUGUUUGUUCUUGCAAUUAAUGAACUUUCCAUCUUGCUUAAUGAAGCUUUGCAGGCUAACCAAUUGCAGGGAAUUUCUCUUGGACCAAACUGCCCCUCUGUCCAUUCUCUUCUAUUUGCAGAUGAUCUUCUGGUGUGUGGGCAUGCUACUUAUCAGGAGGCUCAGACGAUGGCCAGUCUUAUUCAACACUUUUGUGCUCUUUCUGGUCAAACUCCUAACUGGAAUAAAUCUGCCAUUCUCUUUGGCAAUCAUGUUUCUCAGAAUAUUAAUAAUGAUAUUAAGCAAGUCUUUCCUGUUGCUAAUCUUGAUGCUAAUUUCACUCAUCUUGGUCAUCCUCUAAUUUUGCCUGCUAAGAAUAGGGGUGCUGCUUAUAACUUUGUUUUGGAUAAAUUUUUAAAUAAGCUCCCCUCUUAUAAAGCUAACAUGCUAUCUCAUGCUGCCCGUCUUGAACUUAUUCGCUCUGUCUUUUCUGCUAUCCCUGUUUACUAUAUGGCAAACAUUCUGUUUUCAAAAAAAAUUAUUGCCAAGCUCACUUCUAUCAUUAGGAAUUUUUGGUGGACAGGGAUUAGAGAAACAGAUUCUAAGAGGAGUCUUUGUCUCAGAGCAUGGAAGGAUAUUACCAACUCCAAGUCUGAAGGUGGUCUUGGAAUCAGAAAUCUAAAAGCCGUCAAUGAGAGUCUUAUUCUUGCUGCGGCUUGGAGGUUAGCUAAAAACCCCUCCUCCCAAUUAUAUUGUGUUCUUCAAGCCAAAUAUUUUUCUACCACUUCUAUUUGGAAAGCUACUAAUAAUCCACCUAAAUCUGCCUUUUGGUCUUCCAUUUUAAAAAUGCUUCCUAAACUUAAAGAGCAUGCCUUCUAUCAACUCACCCAAGGUAAUGUUUCUAUUUGGAGCAUGCCUUGGUGCAAUAUUUGGAACUCUAUUCAUGAUUUUCUCAUUCCUCAACCAUCAGGCUUUAUUUAUCCCUCCUCGGUUAGGGAUCUUUGGCAGCCUGGGCAAAGGCAAUGGAACCGUCAACUCAUUUUCUCUUUUUUUCAGCAACCUUUGGCUACUCAGAUUAUCAACAUUGAUAUUCUCGAUGAUGAUAAUGCUGAUAUUCUUUGUUGGCCUUUGGCUCCCAAUGGUAUUUGCUCUUCCAAAGCUGCUUAUAAACUUUGCUUACAAGACAUUCAUACUAAUCCUAGAACUGCUCCUCUGGAUGUUCCUUUGGAUUUGAAAGCUUUCUUUAAAACUAUUUGGAAGCAGAAAGAUUUAUUGCCCAAGGUUAAAACUUUUGCUUGGAGGAUGCUUAGCAAAGCUUUGCCCACAGGAAUGAGAGUAGGUCGUUUUUCUAUUCACAUUUCACAGAAUUGUUGUAGAUGUGCUCAGCAAGAAGAUGAGUUUCACCUUUUCUUUCUUUGUGACUUUGCUAGAGCGGCCUGGUUCUCUGCUCCUUGGUUUCUUAGAUCUGACAUCCUUGUGCAAGAACUUCUAGAGUUCCAGAAUUUCAGCAAGGUCAAUUGCGCACAGGUUCAAGCUUCAGGCCCUUCGACGGACACUCCUCUUCAAGCUGAAGCAAUUGCUCUUGCUUGUGCAGCUCAAUUGGCGGCUUGCCUUAACAUUCAAACUCCUACUUUUUUAACUGAUUCUCUUUCUCUUGCCACUGUUGCUGCUGCCAGGAAUAUUGCUCACUCUUCCACUCCUUGGAAUAUUAGAAAAGAAGUGGCUUCUUCUGUAAACUCUACUUCUAAUCUUAAUCCCCAAGAAUUCAGCUUCAUAAGAAGAUGUGCCGAUGUAACCAUGAGAGGAGCCGUGGCGAUACUCAAAUUUACAGGGAUCCCAAAAAUUGUGGACAAUGACAUUGGCAUCAUAGACAUGUCGUUUGGGCUUCAAAUUGCAGUGGAGGUUGCUCAGCAGGCGAUCGAUGCGGCACAUGUGAAGGUUGUGAGCUCUGUGAAUGGCAUCGGUCUUGUUAAACUUAUGGGCAGGAUCACUGGUCAGGAGUUGAUUCCCCGCACUGAUGACCAGAAUCGAGAGCAGGAUGAGUCUGGCAACUGUCCUACAUGGUUAAAAAACUAA